rnacentral:lncRNA from 1 species
UAUGACUCCAGAGUAGAGAUGACCGGUUUCCUGGAGGAAAGAGUGAAGAUUUUUUAGAUGAAGGGACAUCUGAAUUGGCCCAUAAUAGCGUGAGACUUCUGGUUUCCAGUUCCACAUGUAAGGAAGUUGGGAAGUCACCGUUCUGUCUUAAGAAGCAAAAAGGUAAAAAAAUAUGAAAAAUCAAUAACCAUUCUUAGAUCGGUAAGAGGAGGGAAG